rnacentral:rRNA from 1 species
UGGGGAAUAUUGCGCAAUGGGCGAAAGCCUGACGCAGCAACGCCGCGUGAGUGAUGAAGGCCUUCGGGUCGUAAAGCUCUGUCGGAGGGAACGAAUGCUCCUGAAGUUAACAGCCUCAGGAGGUGACGGUACCCUCAAAGGAAGCACCGGCUAACUCUGUGCCAGCAGCCGCGGUAAUACAGAGGGUGCAAGCGUUGUUCGGAAUCAUUGGGCGUAAAGGGCGUGUAGGCGGUAUGUUAAGUCAUGUGUGAAAUCCCUCGGCUCAACCGGGGAACGACGCAUGAAACUGGCAAGCUAGAGUACCAAAGAGGGUGGUGGAAUUCCAGGUGUAGCAGUGAAAUGCGUAGAGAUCUGGAGGAACACCGAUGGCGAAGGCAGCCCCCUGGGCUAACACUGACGCUCAUGCACGAAAGCGUGGGGAGCAAACAGGAUUAGAUACCCCGGUAGUCCCUGAGCGGGCUGGCAAGGCGCAU